UCUCAUUCUUCUCCUUCACGCCGCUUUGUGAUACUCAUAGAUCUAUCUCUGCAUCUUCUUUGAAUUCAUCCUCAUUGCUAGAUCUUCUUCUUCAAUCCCCUGUCGCAUAAACCCUUCUCCCAAUGAUUCCUACAGAUCCAUACACCGACCAAGCAUAAAUUCUAUUAAUCUUCAAAUAGAAUCGGCGGCGUUAGGGUUUUGUUGAAGAAAAUACAAAUUGUAUUUAUUUUGUUGAUUCAAGCAUAAAUACGGAUUCCUCAGGAGCUGGUUGGAUUACUCCCUAGACAAGAAAACCUGAAACAAGCGGGGAAUUAGGGGUUUCAGAGAUAACUAUAAGGAAAUUUGGUUUCUGUUUGACAAUUGUUUGGCCAUUUCAACAAUUUAAGUAGCUUAAAUCUGUACUUAUUUUAUUAUGCAUAUGCAAACAGUUUAUAGUGGAUUA